UACGUAGGGUGCGAGCGUUAAUCGGAAUUACUGGGCGCAAAGCGUGCGCAGGCGGCUAUGCAAGACAGAUGUGAAAUCCCCGGGCUCAACCUCGGAACUGCCUUCAAAACUGGCGACCUGGAGCAAGAUAGAGGCGAGUGGAAUUGCGAGUGUAGAGGUGAAAUUCGUAGAUAUUCGCAGGAACACCAGUGGCGAAGGCGACUCGCUGGAUCUUUGCUGACGCUGAGGCACGAAAGCGUGGGGAGCAAACAGG
rnacentral:rRNA from 1 species